AAGUGAGAAUGCCGGUGUGAGUAGCGAAAGACGGGUGAGAAUCCCGUCCACCGAUUGACUAAGGUUUCCAGAGGAAGGCUCGUCCGCUCUGGGUUAGUCGGGUCCUAAGCUGAGGCCGACAGGCGUAGGCGAUGGAUAACAGGUUGAUAUUCCUGUACCACCUAUAAUCGUUUUAAUCGAUGGGGGGACGCAGUAGGAUAGGCGAAGCGUGCGAUUGGAUUGCACGUCUAAGCAGUAAGGCUGAGUAUUAGGCAAAUCCGGUACUCGUUAAGGCUGAGCUGUGAUGGGGAGAAGACAUUGUGUCUUCGAGUCGUUGAUUUCACACUGCCGAGAAAAGCCUCUAGAUAGAAAAUAGGUGCCCGUACCGCAAACCGACACAGGUAGUCAAGAUGAGAAUUCUAAGGUGAGCGAGCGAACUCUCGUUAAGGAACUCGGCAAAAUGACCCCGUAACUUCGGGAGAAGGGGUGCUCUUUAGGGUUAACGCCCAGAAGAGCCGCAGUGAAUAGGCCCAAGCGACUGUUUAUCAAAAACAC
rnacentral:rRNA from 1 species